AGAGUUCGAUCCUGGCUCAGAACGAACGCUGGCGGCGCGUCUUAAGCAUGCAAGUCGGGCGGGAUCCACGCGCUUGCGCGUGGUGAGAGCGGCGGACUGGCGAGUAACACGUGGGCGACGCGCCCUCCGGACGGGAAUAGCCUGCAGAAAUGCAGGGUAAUGCCGGAUGCGAACGCACGGGCUGGAGCCGUGCGUGGAAAGCCCCCACGGGGGCGCCGGAGGAGCGGCCCGCGGCCCAUCAGCUGGUAGGCGGUGCAAGGGACCACCUAGGCUACGACGGGUACCCGGCCUCAGAGGGCGGACGGGCGCAUUGGGACUGAGAUACGGCCCAGACUCCUACGGGAGGCAGCAGCUAAGAAUAUUCCGCAAUGGGGGGAACCCUGACGGAGCGACGCCGCGUGGGCGAGGAAGGCCGGAAGGUUGUAAAGCCCUUUUGCGCGCGAGGAAUAAGGGGAGGAGGGAAUGCCUUCCCGGUGACUGUAGCGCGCGAAUAAGCGCCGGCUAAUUACGUGCCAGCAGCCGCGGUAACACGUAAGGCGCGAGCGUUGUUCGGAAUCAUUGGGCGUAAAGGGCGUGUAGGCGGCCCUGCAAGCCUGGCGUGAAAUCCCGGGGCCCAACCCCGGAACCGCGCUGGGAACUGCUGGGCUUGAGCCGCUGUGGCGCAGCCGGAAUUCCAGGUGUAGGGGUGAAAUCUGUAGAUAUCUGGAAGAACACCGAUGGCGAAGGCAGGCUGCGAGCGGACGGCUGACGCUGAGGCGCGAAGGCGCGGGGAGCGAACAGGAUUAGAUACCCUGGUAGUCCGCGCAGUAAACGAUGCACACUGGGUGUCCGGGCAUGAGCCCGGGUGCCGAAGCGAACGCGUUAAGUGUGCCGCCUGGGGAGUAUGCCCGCAAGGGUGAAACUCAAAGGAAUUGACGGGGGCCCGCACAAGCGGUGGAGCAUGUGGUUUAAUUCGAUGGUACGCGAGGAACCUUACCUGGGCUUGACAUACACAGGGACCGCCUGGAGACAGGCGGGCGCAGCAAUGCGCCUGUGAACAGGUGCUGCAUGGCUGUCGUCAGCUCGUGCCGUGAGGUGUUGGGUU
rnacentral:rRNA from 1 species